ensembl:lncRNA
AUGGAAUUUGAUAAAAAACAUUAUUUGUGCAAUCAAAAAUCAGCUCGCUUAAAGUAAAAGCGCAUUUACACACUGCAUACUUUUCUAAGUUGGACAUUUUGCUCUCUGAUCUUGUGAAGUCUUGAGUGUGACACUGAUGACCAGGCUGCUAUUUGUACGUCUCUGAAGCGUCUUGAGGAUCUCUCUGUACUAGAUGUUGGCAUCCGUUUCUCCGGCUUCAGGUUUCAGGCGCUGGAAUAUGUUUUACAUUCCUUUCAAAUCAUUAAAGCAUACUCCGAAGUCCACGUGAACUCAAAAAUAAAUACCUCACCCUCCUGCCCACACACAUGUAGGUCAGCGGCCUCAUUAACACAACAGCCCGGUAUACAUAGAAGUUGUGUCCAUAUCGGAUGUUUCUGCACAACACAACUUAUUUUCGUCCACGUUACAGUAAGUACCAAUGCAGUGGAAGUGAUCGGUGCUUUAUGGGUCAGAAGCACGUCUGACUUUUGCUGAGGAGAGUUUGCGUGUCUUGAAAUACUAAUUACAUCACAUUACAUUACAUGUAAUUUAGCUGAGGCGUUUGUCCAAAGCGACUUACAAUAAGUGCAUUCAACCAUAGGGUACAAACUCAGAAGAACAAGAAACAAGAAAGUGCAUUUUCCUUAAAUAAGCCAAUUUACAAUUUGCUAUAGAUGAGUGGCGCUAUAAGUACAAUUUAUGUGCUACAAUUUGUUAGUCUUUUAGUCGAGCUAGAGUCUGAAGAGGUGUGUCUUUAGUUUGCGGCGGAAGAUGUGAAGGCUCUCUGCGGUCCUGGUGUCUUCAGAGAGCUCGUUCCACCAUUUCGGAGCAAGGGCAGCAAAGAGUCGAGACCUAGUCGAGUGUUUUGCCCUCAGUGAGGGAGGGACGAGCAGUUAUACAGAUGCAGAGCGGAGAGUGCGGGUCGGGAUGUCGGGUUUGACCAUGUCCUGGAUGUAAGCUGGACCCGAUCCAUUCACAGCAUGGUACGUGAGCACCAAUGUUUUGAACUGGAUGUGGGAAGCCCCUGGUAGCCAGUGAAGAGAGCGGAGGAGUGGAGUAGUGUGGGAGAAUUUCAGAAGGUUAAAGACCAGUCGAGCUGCUGCAUUCUGGAUGAGCUGCAAAGGUCAAAUGGCGAUGGCAGGGAGACCUGCAGGAGGGAGUUGCAGUAGUCCAGGCGUGAGAUGAGAAGAGCCUGAAUCAGUACCUGAGCAGCCUUCUAAGAAGAGGACGUAUUGUUGUAGAGCGUGUAUCUACAGCAUCGUGUUGUCGCAGUAAUGUUGGGUGUCAGGGAGAGUUGACUGUCGAGUGUGACGCCAAGGUUCCUAGCAGUUAAAGUGCCAAAGUUGACCGUCAGGUCCUGGGUCGGAGAGUCUUUUCCCGGAAAGAGAAGUAGUUCAGUCUUGUCGGGGUUGAUUUUCAGAUGGUGGGCGGACAUCCACUGAGAGAUGUCAGUCAGACAGCCAGAGAUCCGCGCCGCCACCUGGGUGUCCGAGGGAGGGAAGGAGAGAAUUAGUUGGGUGUCAUCGGCAUAGCUGUGGUAGGAGAAGCCAUGCGAGCGAAUGACAGCACCGAGAGAGUUGGUGUAGAGCGAGAAGAGAAGGGAACCCAGGACGGAACCCUGAGGAACUCCAGAAGUAAGAAGACAAGGUUCCGACACAGACCCGAGGUAGGACGAGAGAAGGGAGAGAGCAGAGCCUGAGACACCAAGUUUCUGAAGGGAGGAAAUAAGGAUCUGGUGGUUGACUGUGUCAAAUGCAGCAGAGAGGUCCAGAAGGAUGAGGACAGAGGAGAGAGAGGCGGCUCUAGCAGUGUGGAGUUGCUCUGAGACAGCAAGGAGAGCAGUCUCUGUGGAAUGGCCUGCCUUGAAGCCUGACUGGUGGGGGUCAAGGAGGUUGUUACGACUAAUGAUGUCUUCUGUUUGUCCGUCCAGAGAGAUCCCUGUCAAUGGAUUUCCAAAUUUCAGCAUUUGGGACAAAAUGUAUUGUCAGUAUUGUGGGUAAAAUAUUAUCAAAAGUUAGUAUGAAACUUACAAAGUUAGUGCAAAUGUUUCUCUUACUGUCUGUUAUUAUUCAGAGUUGUCCAAACUCAAUCAGCAAAGCCUCAUAUUAGUUUCAGAUGAACUGUUUUAUAGAUGUUUACAAGGAUACCGUGGAUUUUAUCCCACAUAACUUCCAUUAUGCACAUUAAGAAAUGAGAUCUUAAAGACCAAAUGAAGCAGAAUUUAUGUCAGUUUGGCUGUUUUUGGAGGAGCUUUGGCACAGGGUGAAACAAAAAAUAAAUCCUCCCCCACAGUAGAAUUUACCAUAGUUGUAAAUUAUACCCGGCUCAAUGGAACAGGGGACAGUUAAUACACCGUCGGUUACAGUGCGUCACAUUACCAACUGUUUCUAAUCAAAGUGCACAAAAGCGUCUUUUUAAAUUCUGUGCUCAUUCCAGAUGAAAUUUCUUCACCGUAUUUGCCUGCACUCCGUAACUCAUUUGCUUGGGGCUUCUGCUUGUAGCUGAGCUGCUGAGUGGUAGCUGCUCCUGUCUGGAUUUCAGCACCGUCACCGAAGCGUUUCUGAAAGCUCUGCCUGAACCUCCGAGUCUCUCUCUCUCUCUCUCUCUCUCUCUCUCGCUGGAGGAGACGCCAUGGGAAACCGACUUCUCCAACAUGGCGGCUCCCUCCCCUCUCUGAUCGCCACUGUGGCUGGUUCCAAUGCGAGCGGGCAGCCGAAUGGUUUCGCCCCGCUGGUCCCAAAGUGUUUGCGAUCCAAUGAGUGGUCGGGCCCCUCGGUGCUCGCUCAUUAUCUGGACGGGGAGCCCGAUCCUGCUCCGCAGGGAGCCGCUUCAGCUCAGAUAAGACUGGCAUGCCUUGCGUUUGGUGUCGCUCUAAAGAAUACAGGACGCAGUAAUGGGCGCUGCUGUUGUUCGAAAACUGUUGUUACACCCACUAUUUUGGUGACAUUUGUGCAAGUGUGCAUGAUUAUCCGACAUUUUGGGGAUACAUGGUUUUCCCCUCAUGGCAAGUUUUAAGUUUCAGUUGAGACUAAUAUUAGAGAGAAAAAGCUUUGUCCCUGUUUGGGCCUUUAAGCCUCAUGCGAAAUGAGUGUUUUGUGGUGCAUUUUCAAACCAUGUAAAGUCAUUUUCACACUGCGUCUCCCCUGGCAGCAGUUGCAGUGUGCCGCUGUGGGUUGCUGGAAUGGUUUUCUUUGUUGCACAUGAAAGAAAUCGGUCUGAGCAGUUUUUCUGCAGCUGUUUAUUCGCUGUCUCAGGAAAAGUCCAUGAGAGACCACUCUCUCUGUGGUUGUGGCAGCUUGUAAAUUAAUGGAUUUAUUUGGCUGGGGAAGAUUGCACACAUUACAUAUUUGGAGCAAUCAAAUCAGCAAUUACGUGGUUUCGAAUUUCAUGUUUGCGCCCAGCUGUGACAAGCUCGACUGUCCUCUGAGAAGUCUGGCUGGAUUUAAUGUCUGUUCAAAAAGGCUGAUUGCCUGGCAGCACGACUGAAGGUAAUGCAAAGCAAUCAUUCGUCACAGAAACACACGCUGUUGCUGUAAGAAUUUAUUCUAAUGAUUCAGUUAAUUCAUGACCGAGUCAGUAAAGGUGCAACGGAUCAUAAAACCACAACCACCAUAGAAGCACAGAUCGCAACGGAACAUCUUACAUUUAAACUUGGAAUCGCGCACUGUCACCUGCCAUGCCUCCACUUUGAAUUGCUCUGUACUGCCUCAAAUCGAUAUAUGACAUGAACUCAGCCUCAAGGUUUUGCAUUAACGUGUAGGAAAACCAACAAAAGGAAUAAAAACCAUAUACAUACUGUAUGGAAAUUACUUUCUUUACAAGAAAAAACAGUCUAACUACUUAUUUCAAGGUUUAAUUUAACCUGUUACCUGUAAAAUGUGCAACUUAACGGUAGCUGUGGAGCAUUGUUAACUAGUAGAAGGCCCACUGUGGAACACAAGCAUGACUCACACACUAACUCACUGACGCAUGACACACUUUCCUGAACAUUUAUUUAUCUAUUCUACUGACUGACAGCUGCCAAGAAAAGUAAAAACGCUUCAGGAAAGGCAGGGGGGAGAAACAAUAUUAACAUUACAAAAUAACCUUUUUGCUAAAGGGAGUAAGCUCUCAUCUCUUCAUGUGGUCCAACACAAAUUCACCUCCUGCUUUAAUGCUCAAGCAGGUAUCACAUGCAACGAGGGCAAUCAAAGACGGGGGGGUGGGUGGACAAAACUUUGGUGAGGGCCAUCUGUCUGCUAUUUAGUCCAGUCCCAGAAGUCAUGCCUGCUUAAUUCCAAAACUGUCACGGUGUGUCAUUAGGUGCAGCCAUUUUAAAGCUUCAGAUUUCAUUAGCCACAGGAAGGGCCACAUUACCCCCAGGAUUAAUGUCAGGUUUUUGCGGCUCAGUGCUGCAACGGUGGACUGCAUUAAUGUGAUUGGGUUGACCCUCUUGUUUAAAUACACCUCAACUCAUUAAGCAUUAUAGACCCAGAGCAACCCCAUUAAAUCAUGAAUUGUGGACAUUUUGUACGAGCAGCAUUUACUUUACACCUCAGAAAUCUCAAAAAUCGACCACGGCUUCCUGCCAAGGUUAAGAUUCAAAGAAUCUUCAGCUGCCACUUCACAGCCAAACGUUUUGUUUAUACCCUUUAAAGCCUCCUCAUUUCUCCCAGUGUUGCAUCGCCACUGCCGUUUCCUAAGUUGUGCGUCUCUGCGUCGGGGUGAUGCAGAGGUGACGCCACGCUGAACAGGAAACCUGAUCGCACUAUCUGGAGGAUGACACAGAGGAGCUGAGUCACGCCUAGUGCCGGCGCCCACAAAACGAUGACUCAGUGAGGACGAGCCCAGUCAUCGCUCUUCCCUUUUUAAUUAGGCAGUACGGGGCCCCUCAGCAGCCAAUCGACUGCCUCCUCUCAUCCGAUGGCUGCAGACGCUAGGAUUGUGUUCGCUCACUUCUUUCUUUAGUGCGGGUUUUAAAACCAUCCUCAACUUUUUUUCUGCCUUAAUAACGAGCAUGAAACUGUCAGCACUGGUGAGGAGAACAAGAGCUCACGGAGCACAUGCGGCGCUCUCUGCAGUUCUGCUACAUCAUGUUGACAUCUACCAGAAGCUGCGAACGCAAUGCGCUCGGCCCACCUGAGGGGCGGCGGCACGCGGCCCCUGUGUUCCGUCACUUAGACAUUCAUCACCAUGUCGCCCAAGCGCCUGCGUGCGAGGACUCUCAGCGCACCUCGCCAGGUGUGAGAGUAGUCUGAAUUUUUUGGGCCUCUUAUUAAUCAGGGAAAUGAUCGCAACCAGCCGUUGUCCGCGGUGUGGUCGGGGUUGUCACGCCGCAGACGUUGUUGAGUUCCAGAAGCAGCAUCUUGAAGUUGAAAUGAUACCUGCACCGAUGGGAUUUGUUUCCUCCGCAGUGUUGAGGCCUGAGUUCACCUUUCAGAGUUUUGACAGACCUCAAGAGGCAGAAGAAUAUAAAUGUUUGAAAGGCGGUUUGGACUCAAUUCCCUUUCAUCUUUUUUUCCAUCACGAAAAAACCUGCAGACUGUUUCCCCCGCGUCAGCCGGAGGGGGUUAGACCUUUGUGGAGUAGAAGCAGUUCAGCCAUACCGCUGACUUGGCUGUGAAUUACAUUUUUUGCAAUUGACGCUUUGUUUGUGCGCUCGCCUUGGUGCACAGUGGACUCUGGAGUAAGCACAUAAUCUUUAAAGUGGGUCGGGGCAUCACUGUUUAAUGCCUUUUGUUACUCAAGUGCUGCUCAGUCAACAUCUCUGUCGCAGCAGAGAAUGUCAGACAAAUAUGCAGUCAAUGUGUAAAGCCAUUAAUUCCUUCCGGAAUUAAUACCAACCAAAGAGUGUUACAACUGACAGUGUCACGGUUUGGGUUCACGUAUUGUUUUAUUUUGUAGUUUCAUGCCUCUGGUGCUCCUGGGUUUACUUCACUUCCUGCCUGGUCCUGUCAUCAUCUGCCGUGUCCAUGAUUGUUUCCACCUGUGUCCAAUCACCUGCACCGUCCCAGUGUAUUUAAGCCCUGUGUGUCUCCUUGUCGCGUCAUUGAUUGUUCAACCCAAAUGUUGCAUGUCAUCCCCUCAGUGUCUUGGCUGUGCCUGCGUCCUGUCUGCGUUUUGCCUUUUUUAAAGAUUUUGACUAUUAAAGUCCUUUUCUGUUUUGAACUCUGCGUUUGAGUCCUGCCUUCACCUACCCGUUCCCGACAGACAGGAUAGUUUAUUUAUUUGGUUGUAUUUGAUGUAGGUUUGGUUAAAAAGAUGGGGUUUGCUCUCAGCAAUACCAUCAAAUGAAACCAAAGAUGUUGAACCUCGUUUUGUUUUUUAAAUAACUUAAGUGCGGUUAUUUGGCUGAUUGUUUUUCGGGCGUGUUUCUUUUGGUUUGCCCCUCCUCUUUAGUUGAGUGCCUUUACUCGAGAUCUGACCAGCCACCCACAACAGUUUAGCAAAUCUGGAGCACGUCUGACUGGAUUCGUCAUUAAUUGUGCACAAACAUUGAUGCCACGCCGUCACAGUCUUCACAGUUCACCUUUUUCGUUGUUAAGUAAUUACAGAGGCAUUGUGGUUAAGACCCCUUGCUUACGGAAAUCGGAAACUAACAGAAAGGUUCCAGACUAAUCCUCGUCUGUGACUUGGUCUGGUGAUUAGUGCAUGUCCUUGUACGUGACACAGCACAUGGCUUCAGUAGCUGGGAGCCCCAGAUAGAGGAAGGUUUAGCUACUAUCUUAACUUGCCCUGUGUAGAAUAAUAACUGGCUUAUUUAGUGACGUGCCAGUAAAUUACGUACAGAUACAUACGUGCUGUUAAAUUACUUUCUAUGGCUUUGUUCCUCAGUAUCUCAUAUUAUUAUUACAUUAUUAUUAUCUUAUUAUUACAGAAUAGCGCCGAUAUUUUACAUUGUUACCUGCUUAUUCCCUUUAGCCUAUUUCCUUGCACCUACACGGAUGUGUCGGCACACACUGUACUGGUAAAUCAGUACAAUAAAUUACACAAAUUACUGGGAAUGUCUGAAACGGCUGAGAACUGACUGAGAAAAGACAAUGUUGUGAAGGAAAGGACCUUGGCCCAGUUUAAACAACAAAGCUGCACCCUGGGAAAUGAAUGAAGGAUCAUUUAAAAUAGAGGUGAGAUGAAAGAAAUACAUCCAAAAGCAAACAAUGGUUGUAUUUUCUUGAAGCUACCUGUUAUUCAAAAGCGUUGGCGACAAGUACUGGUCUGUUCACUGCAGUGGAAAAACCCCUAAUGAUGACUACACUUAAGUGUGAAGAGCUUAUUGAGUUUUCGACAGGAAGCCUCCCCCGGUGCAUGGUUUGGAGCUGUGCUGUAGGCAGUCACUGCAGAGACUCCAAUUACUGACCAAGUCCCACUUGGCUGGCUUCUAACUGUGACCAGCAAAUUAGAAAGCUGGCAAGGGAGAGAAAGGGGCCAGGGAAAAAAAAAACAGAGAAAAGUUUUUGGUUGCGCAGCGAUGUUGGCCUACCGGAAGCCCAGAAAAACGUCGAGUAGAUUGCAACACGUGCAGAAGGAAAAAUAUGCACCGCUUUGUUCAUGAGUUGGACACUUUCCAAACGCCUGUUCAUCGAUAAUCCAGCAACGAACUGUGGAUUUAUGGCCAGCAUUAGUGUUACUGAACCUCCUGAACUAAACAUUUUACCAUAACCAGUACACAGGGGGUGGAUAUCUGACAAAAACAAAACAGGCUUUUUUUGCAGUUAACCCUCUGCUAUGAUGAUGCCAAUAAUGGUAACGGUUAGAUUGUUGCAUUAUCUGUGUGGGCAAGCAACCUUUUAUCAGGAAAUGUCAGAAGGUAGUCCACAUUGUUUGUGAGUUGUCUUAUCUUUAUGUCUUUAUCCCACUAAAAUGCAUUUAGUUGAAAUUUUCGUUCUAAAUAUCACAAUUUAUUCAUUUGUAGUAUAAAUUGAAUAAGGUUUAUCUUGUCUUGUAUGUUUGUGUAUGUGCACAGUUGCUGCAGGUUUGUUAUGUAUCAUAAGUUCUUACACAAACAUUGGGGAGAAUUCACAUUCGCUGUCUGCAGUAGUAACAGCAGCAGCAGCAGGAGGUCAGUUUAAGAUUCCUCCCACGUGCUACCUGCAGAUAAGUGCACGGUGCAGUGCUGAGCCUAUAGUGAGGGUUGGUUAGGCAAUAGUUCCUCUCUUUAAAACUUUAUAUGUUUACAACUGUAGGAGUCACAGUGGCAUCAAGCCACCGUUGGGAUGAAAAAUUGGAUAGGAUUCACAGGCCAGAAGCAGCUGCCUGUUGUAAAACAAUGCAGAAGAGUGUCGUCUUUUGUGUGUGUCACUGAACUCUUUCAAGGGUUCCCAGCCACAACUGGUCGAUAACUUAUUUCUGUUCUUCUACUAUUUUGACGUGAUAUCGUGUUUCCCCAAGACAGGAGCUUGUACACUCGGGAGGGGAGAUGGAUAAGAAUGGAUCCGCCGCGUUUGACAUUGGAGUAAGAUUACUCUGUUCCCCCCGAGCAGAGACACAUUAAACAAGUAGGAGAUCAGAGGAGCAGAAAGGCAGAUGAGAGCCGUGCGUCUGUGCACCUCCACAUGGGGCUUAAGGAGCACAGAGGACAGCUGGUUCACUCAUCACUUUUUUGCCUUGUCUUGGGCUUUCAAACCCCCCGGGGACACGCAGUUUCUGCCGGUGAGCUGUUCAGGAACUGGUUACAAAACAGGAUUUUCUUGUGAAGCUGAAUGUGUUCUAUUUUUGUACCAUAAUGGUGUAAUAAAAACCAAGGUUUUAACCUGAAAAACAAAAUGUUUAUAGUCACUUUGUGGAGCUAAGCUCCGGAUGGUCAUUUUAUUUGUGGUAGGUGGGUUAUUUUCUUUCGAUGGCAAAUCUGGUGAAGCACCCAAAAUAUCAUUCUGUUUCCAUUGUUCAGUGGUUGACCUUCUGCUGACCCCUGCCAGGGUCAAACUCCCUAUAACAUUGAUGACGCUGUCAAAUUUAACGUUGAAAAUUGUUCUUAGUGCAUGAGUUCAUAUAAGUAUAGAUGCUAGAUUACAAAUGUUGAUUUUACCAAAUAUGAUUGCAACUGUUAAUGAUGUCGCUAAUUAAUUGUUAAGUAAUUGUUGUAACUAUUUAAUUUGUCAUUUAAGCUACAGUAAGCCCUAUGAGUUGUUUUAAAAUACCCUUUUCCGUUUUUACAAAUAGGAGAAUCUUGUAAAAGGGUCUUAAUGCAAAUACCAAACUUGCUUUGCUUCAGGAUCCGCAUCAGUUGAUAAUCUAUCCAGAAGAAAUGGAAAUACAAUGGGAAGAUAACAUAUUUUUUACGGCAAUUUUCUGUAAUUGAGCAGCACCUACAAGUAUAACAAGCAUAUAUAGACUCAGCAAUACUUCUUACUGUCAUUGGAAUUCAUGUUUAAUCAAUAAUCACCUAAUACUUAAUUUAAUGGUAUCAAAAAAAGGAGUCAAUGUAAGCUACUUUAGCUACUUGGGAAGGAUGACAUACUUUCCCCUGUUUGGACUAGUUCUGAAUCUUUGCUUGUUCCACAUCUGCACUUUGCUCAAUACCAGGGCUGUAUUUUUUCACUCCCACUGAUUUGGUGACAGUUUGAUGAAUCCUUUCUCUUCUGGUGGUAUAAGUUUCACUCUUCGUAAAAGGUUCAAACUGUUGUUUACCUUUUCUGUUGUAGAGAGGUCUACAAUUCCCUUUAUUUCCCAUGGGAAGGUCGGAAGAGCAUCUUGCUUUUAAGAGGAUAAAGGAGUAAAGUAGAUUGAGAUGUAACUUAGAAAUUGACUUCUUGCCACGUGAGAAAAUACACUGCAGACCUUAUGAAAAAAGAACCUUGAUGGUUUGCAACAUAUUUGAUGCCUGAUUUGAGGAGACACUGCAGCGAGAGCAGAUGGGUUUGACUGACCCGUUGAGGUUACCACUCUCUCUGUUGUCAGUGCACCUCUUCUGGUGAUGAAAACAUCCUAUUGGCUCCUCACGCAUGACCAACUCAGACCCAUCACAACAAAUCUGUCUCCCUGGGAUAGCCUGUCAUUGUGUGUGUUGGUAUAUAUAUAUAUAUAUAUAUAUAUAUAUAUAUAUAUGUGUGUGUGCGUGUGCGCGCGUGCAUAAGAGAGAUGGUGUUGCAGACAAGGAAGUGAUGGACUAGAAGUGACAUACGACCCCUGAAGCAGCCAAGGAUUAAUGGCCUGCGUAGGCGAGCUCCUCGAGAAGGAUGUGGCUGGGUAAUAAGGACCUCCACCAGCCACAGUGCAUACAUCCAUCUGCCCUUCUCGGAUAAUCGCCCUCCCGCAGCUGGAGCUUCCAGAUGUGGAGCCACCUGUGGAGAACGGGCCACUGAUUUCCUGCCACAUAUGCAGAGAAGAUUCCUUAAAAAACCCGCCUGACUCAAUACUCGCCUGAUGUUUUGUGUACAGGGAAACACAAUUUUUGAGUCAAGGGCACAUUUGGUGGUCUGAGCAGAGAUGGUUUUCAGGUGGCACGCCGUCACCGUGACAGGUAACACGGAAACUGGGGAGGCGAGAGGUAUGAGACACUGCAGGGACCCCAGUCAAGCUCCAAAGGAAUGAAUAUGAAACAUUGAAAAUGUCACUGGGGUAUUCUGACAUUUUGCACUUUGAGGGAGUCUGAAAAGGUUCAAACGGCAACUGAGAAGUGAAAGCGGCAGCUAUGGAUAUGAGUCACCUGCAGGAGAAAACAUGCUACACUCGUGUUAACCUCUUCUGGUUCAGAGGUGGUGAAACAGGCAUGGAAGCAUAUUUAAGCUGCUUUGUACAUUUUUCAAACUUUCAGUCGAGUCCCUUUAACUCGUUGGUUUUGACAGAUAAACACACGUUUUUACAACCGGGGUAUAAUGUGUGUAAUUGUUCUGUCAUCAUAUCAUAAUUACUAAGAUCUGGGACUGCAGCACAUUUUGCUUAAAACUGCAGAGGACGCUCCUGUUUCGACUUUGACCCCUUCAUUUGCCAUAGUUGUUACAGAUUAUUACCAACAUUUCAAGUGUGCUCACUUUCUAUUUUUCCUUCAAAUAAAGUAUUUCAGAUAGAAUAGGCUUUACAAAAUGAAUGAUCUUCUGUGUGUUUCUUGUGACAUUAUUGCGGUGAUGUUUCCAUGUUCCCAAAUUUCAGGAAUUACUUAGAAACGAUGGCCAGAAUUAUUAAGUAUACAGUAAAACAAGUUGUGAUAAGCAAGGAUGGUCCAAAGAGUUGAGGUCUUCCCACCAGUAUCCAUGGCUUAAGACAACACGCGGUCACGCUCUUCUUCAGAAUAGGCUUUGCAUGUUGCCUCUGUGGCCUCAGACAGAAAUGAUGAGAUCAGAGCGCUGCGGUUGGACAUCAAGAGGGCCGGGAGGCGAAAACACCUGCUGUCAUCGUCUCCCACUCUGGAAACCAGCAUGAACACACAAGGUCAAAUGGCCGGGGCAGCACUUCAUGUUCCCCCCGAUCCAUUAGAUUUUUCGGAUGCUUCGCUUUUCACCAAGAUCAAAUCACUUCCUGCCAACCAGAUUAGGCGUGCUGGUGGGGGAGCGAGGAGAAGGCUGGCGGGAUGAUAUUAAAAAGAACCCAUGCUGCUGACUAGUCUUUGAACAGGAACAAGCUUCACUUUCAACGCUGUUUCCCGAAAAACAUUCUCUAAAGCAAAUCUGACAGAGAAAUUGUCCUUGUCCGUGUUGCUUCUCCUUCUCCUUUGAUUUGACUGCAGAUUGGACUGAGGUCGCUUUAAGACUCUGUGGACCUAAACUCAAUGUCAAAAGUUUUUAGCCGCACUGGAGAAAGCUGUUCUACUGUCUUGCAGCCAAUAAGUAGCAUAGCAGUCUUAAAGAAAGGCUUUACCUUUAUGAUAGUUUGUAACCAUUGCAUUUUUCAUAAAACGAGGAGCAAAUUCUUUAACCAUGUUUUGCAUUUGCACAAUUGGUCUUUAGCUGGUUUGCAUUGCUUAUGACUUGACAUAAUAACAUAAUAAACAUGAAAAGGUCAAAUAGGAUCAUCCAAACUAUUUGGUGUCUGUUAACACCACAUUGACAUACUUCUUACUACUUACUUCAUAAAGUGGAUAUGGGGACCAUGUUGAACAUUUCAGCGAACACGGAGGAACAUUAGCAUUGAUCUGUCCUUGGCCACCUGAUUGAUGUCCCGUAUUAACAAUACCUCAUAUGAAGCUGAAAUUGAAAUUAUGCUCAGUGGAGCUAAUAAAACAAGACACAAAAGUUAAUAUCAAAACAUUAAAAAAGAUGUUAAGAUGCUUCAUAGUUUUUACGCUCAGGUAAUAUCUUGUUUUAAGAACAUUAGGGAUUUCUUACAGUUUAUAAAAUAAUCACUUCAUCCAUUAUUAUUAUUUGAGAAAACCUUUGACUUAGUGUUAAACAAUGAUCAGCUGCUAAAAUUGUAAACCUGCGCACUUAAGUGCAGCCUCAUUAUCAAAUGUCAGCUUUCCUUUGAUUUAAGGAGGCUUAUGUCCCUUUUAAAUCAGUAUUGGAACACUUAUCUAAUGCCACCAUUUCCAGUUGGUCUUAAUCCCUCAAACAAUUAAUACCUCUUAACAAGUUAAUUGUCUAAUUGUUCAAAUCCAGACACCAUGUAAGGACUGCGUUUAACCUGGCCGGUCGUAUGCGCUAAACCCCUAAACCAACCUUCAGACCCGCCUCGGCCACUCAAACAUGCUCACGCCAACAGACCCGUCCUCAAAUGGAAGCGUGUGUUUGGCUAAUGAGGCAAAGCGGUCCGGUCCGUUUCCCUCACUUUGCACCUCCAAAUCCUCCGGUGUCUCUCCGAGGAUAAAAACAAACCCAGGGGAUUCUUAAGAGGCGUUGGAAACAGACAGAUAGCAAAGUGCGUGGCGGAGGCCCACGGCGUCGGUGUUCGGGGUGGGUGACGGUGUUAUUCACUGCCAUCUGUUCCCCCAGGCGGCGGUCCAGCAGCGCUCGGCCGCGAGGAGCAGGGAGCAGCCCACCCAGCCUCGCUGCUGGCACCGCCGCAGUUCAUCCACAACAUGGCCGUGUGUGUGUGUGCGGGGCCUCCCGGGCCCGUUUGUGCGGAGACGGUGUUGUAUAAAACUAAGCUCUCUUACGCUCGGACCGUUUGCGGCAAUCUGUCCUGCUCAAAGACUCUUGCACCGCAUUGCUGAGCUAUAAAGUUACAGAAAACGGAGAUUAUUGAAUUAGUGGGCGCACAACUGUUUGUUUUCACCCUGCAUUUGUGGCUCGAAGCCGUCGGCCCGUGUGAAUUUCCCACGAGAAGCCACUUCAGCUCCCUUUUCAGUGGACGAGCAGCUCGGCAAGCGGCGUCAGUGUUUGGUGACGCGGCAAAUGCCGUAAAACGGCAUAUCAUUUUCAGUUUGGGUAUGUUACCCAAACAACAAAGGAAUGUUAUGAGAGCAGUGGGGUCCCAUCGCUCAACCUAUUUAUGAGAAGAACUCACAAAGGCCCGAAUCACUCUUCCUCUCUGUCUCCGCUGUCACCCUCAGGAAAAGUGAGCAUGCCGUAAAUCACCUUGGCAGCUCUGUGUUUUGAAGCGGCAGACUGCCCGUAGCCACUGUCGUUUUAUGGGUUGUUAUUUCACUGCAUGUUGUAGGGAGACGUAAUCUCGCUUUAAAUGCUGGUGCGUUGGCUUGAAGUGUUCAA